ACAUUGACCUGGAGAGGUUCUG
rnacentral:miRNA from 1 species